rnacentral:rRNA from 1 species
UUGAACGCUGGCGGCAGGCCUAACACAUGCAAGUCGAACGGUAACAGGAAGAAGCUUGCUUCUUUGCUGACGAGUGGCGGACGGGUGAGUAAUGUCUGGGAAACUGCCUGAUGGAGGGGGAUAACUACUGGAAACGGUAGCUAAUACCGCAUAACGUCGCAAGACCAAAGAGGGGGACCUUCGGGCCUCUUGCCAUCGGAUGUGCCCAGAUGGGAUUAGCUAGUAGGUGGGGUAACGGCUCACCUAGGCGACGAUCCCUAGCUGGUCUGAGAGGAUGUCCAGCCACACUGGAACUGAGACACGGUCCAGACUCCUACGGGAGGCAGCAGUGGGGAAUAUUGCACAAUGGGCGCAAGCCUGAUGCAGCCAUGCCGCGUGUAUGAAGAAGGCCUUCGGGUUGUAAAGUACUUUCAGCGGGGAGGAAGGGAGUAAAGUUAAUACCUUUGCUCAUUGACGUUACCCGCAGAAGAAGCACCGGCUAACUCCGUG